rnacentral:rRNA from 1 species
AUUGAACGCUGGCGGCAGGCCUAACGCAUGCAAGUCGAGCGAGCGGCGGACGGGUGAGUAAUGUCUGGGAAACUGCCUGAUGGAGGGGGAUAACUACUGGAAACGGUAGCUAAUACCGCAUACCAUCAGAUGUGCCCAGAUGGGAUUAGCUAGUUGGUGGGGUAAAGGCUCACCUAGGCGACGAUCCCUAGCUGGUCUGAGAGGAUGACCAGCCACACUGGGACUGAGACACGGUCCAGACUCCUACGGGAGGCAGCAGUGGGGAAUAUUGCACAAUGGGGGCAAGCCUGACGCAGCCAUGCCGCGUGAAUGAAGAAGGCCUUCGGGUUGUAAAGUACUUUCAGCAGGGAGGCGUUACCCGCAGAAGAAGCACCGGCUAACUCCGUGCCAGCAGCCGCGGUAAUAC